CCGCGUGGGGGAUGACGGCCUUCGGGUUGUAAACCUCUUUCAGCAGGGACGAAGCCGCGAGGUGACGGUACCUGCAGAAGAAGCACCGGCCAACUACGUGCCAGCAGCCGCGGUAAUACGUAGGGUGCAAGCGUUGUCCGGGAAUUAUUGGGCGUAAAGAGCUCGUAGGCGGUUUGUUGCGUCGGCUGUGAAAUCCCGAGGCUCAACCUCGGGUCUGCAGUCGAUACGAGCAAACUAGAGUGUUGCAGGGGAGACUGGAAUUCCUGGUGUAGCGGUGAAAUGCGCAGAUAUUAGGAGGAACACCGGUGGCGAAGGCGGGUCUCUGGGCAACAACUGACGCUGAGGAGCGAAAGCGUGGGGAGCGAACAGGAUUAGAUACCCUGGUAGUCCACGCCGUAAACGUUGGGCGCUAGGUGUGGGGCUCAUUCCACGAGUUCCGUGCCGCAGCUAACGCAUUAAGCGCCCCGCCUGGGGAGUACGGCCGCAAGGCUAAAACUCAAAGGAAUUGACGGGGGCCCGCACAAGCGGCGGAGCAUGUUGCUUAAUUCGAUGCAACGCGAAGAACCUUACCUAGGCUUGACAUGCACGGAAAUCUCCCAGAGAUGGGGGGUCCGUAAGGGCCGUGCACAGGUGGUGCAUGGUUGUCGUCAGCUCGUGUCGUGAGAUGUUGGGUUAAGUCCCGCAACGAGCGCAACCCUCGUUCCAUGUUGCCAGCACGUGAUGGUGGGGACUCAUGGGAGACUGCCGGGGUCAACUCGGAGGAAGGUGGGGAUGACGUCAAAUCAUCAUGCCCCUUAUGUCUAGGGCUGCAAACAUGCUACAAUGGCCGGUACAAAGGGCUGCGAUACCGUGAGGUGGAGCGAAUCCCAAAAAGCCGGUCUCAGUUCGGAUUGGGGUCUGCAACUCGACCCCAUGAAGUUGGAGUCGCUAGUAAUCGCAGAUCAGCAACGCCGCGGUGAAUACGUUCCCGGG
rnacentral:rRNA from 1 species